AUUGAACGCUGGCGGCAUGCUUUACACAUGCAAGUCGAACGGUAACAGGGAGCUUGCUCCGCUGACGAGUGGCGAACGGGAGAGUAAUGCGUCGGAACGUGCCGAGUAGUGGGGGAUAACGCAGCGAAAGUUGUGCUAAUACCGCAUACGUACUGAGGUAGAAAGUGGGGGACCUUAGGGCCUCACGCUAUUCGAGCGGCCGACGUCUGAUUAGCUAGUAGGUGAGGUAAAGGCUCACCUAGGCGACGGUCAGUAGCGGGUCGGAGAGGAUGAUCCGCCACACUGGGACUGAGACACGGCCCAGACUCCUACGGGAGGCAGUAGUGGGGAAUUUUGGACAAUGGGCGAAAGCCUGAUCCAGCCAUGCCGCGUGUCUGAAGAAGGCCUUCGGGUUGUAAAGGACUUUUGUCGGGGAGGAAAUCCCCAGCGCUAAUACCGCUGGGGGAUGACAGUACCUGAAGAAUAAGCACCGGCUAACUACGUGCCAGCAGCCGCGGUAACAC
rnacentral:rRNA from 1 species